rnacentral:piRNA from 1 species
UAAAAUAAUUGAGAACACAGGAUGU